CGGGCAUCCUCUGGGACCCUCUGAUGUGUUAAGAAUGAACCCCAGCUGCAGGGCUGGAAGGUAUACGGGUUUCGAGGCUGAAUAGUGACUAUUGCGAAUUGCGAAUACACAUUUCAGAGAAGCAAGGAAAAGCCGCGGUGGAUAACACAUUUCAUGCUGGAAGCGUGCGUGGAGGUGGUGUGAGGUUUUGCUGCCUACAAGUCUGCAGCGGAGCGUCUUCAGCAACUGAAACGGAAAACAGACUUCGCCUCUCCCGGCUCCUUCCCGAUGCGAACCAAUCCG
rnacentral:lncRNA from 1 species